rnacentral:misc_RNA from 1 species
GGCGGGGUUGGUAGUAGGUACGUGGCUGGUGGCGAGAGACAUUGCCACCGAGAACUCCAAAAUUAACGUGCGUUCACCAUUACCAAACCAUUUCUUCGGGUGCUUAGAAUCAAAAUUUCAAAACUAUCCACAGACAAACUUAUCUUUACAUACAAACCCCAAUGGGCGACGGUGCAAUAAUGCCACAAAUCGCAAUACCCUUUUCUGAAAAUCAAACGAGUUCCUCAGCAGACAAGUUGGUUGGUGAAUAACCCAUUUGGUUCAGUACAACAACCACGCAAGGUACUGUUACACCUAAACCCUGCAACGAUCAUAUUCUUCAAAGCAGCUUUUCAAAAAAGAAAAAAUUCCUCUAAGGAAAGGCAGAGAGGGAGAGUGGUAGGAGAAUUUUGUACACGCAGAGAAAUGGCG